CCUACGGGAGGCAGCAGUGGGGAAUCUUGCGCAAUGGGCGAAAGCCUGACGCAGCAACGCCGCGUGCGGGAAGAAGGCUUUCGGGCUGUAAACCGCUUUCAGCAGGAACGAAAAUGACGGUACCUGCAGAAGAAGGAGCGGCCAACUAUGUGCCAGCAGCCGCGGUGAUACAUAGGCUUCAAGCGUUGUCCGGAUUUAUUGGGCGUAAAGAGUUCGUAGGCGGUCGAGUAAGUCGGGUGUGAAAAUUCUGGGCUCAACCCAGAGACGCCACCCGAUACUGCUUGACUUGAGUUCGAUAGGGGAUGGGGAAUUCCUAGUGUAGCGGUGAAAUGCGCAGAUAUUAGGAGGAACACCGGUGGCGAAGGCGCCACUCUGGAUCGAUACUGACGCUGAGGAACGAAAGCAUGGGUAGCAAACAGGAUUAGAUACCCUGGUAGUCCAUGCCGUAAACGGUGGGCACUAGGUGUGGGAUUCUAUUAACGAAUUCCGNGCCGUCGCUAACGCAUUAAGUGCCCCGCUGGGGAAUACGGUCGCAAGCUAAAACUCAAAGGAAUUGACGGNNGAGAGNGCGACGACGACACGAGGAGAG
rnacentral:rRNA from 1 species